rnacentral:rRNA from 1 species
GAUGAACGCUGGCGGCGUGCUUAACACAUGCAAGUCGAACGGAAAGGCUCCUGCGUGCAGGGGUACUCGAGUGGCGAACGGGUGAGUAACACGUGGGUGAUCUGCCCUCCACUUCGGGAUAAGCCUGGGAAACUGGGUCUAAUACCGGAUAGGACCACAUUUUGGAUUGUGUGGUGGAAAGUUUUUCGGUGUGGGAUGAACUCGCGGCCUAUCAGCUGGUUGGUGGGGUAAUGGCCUACCAAGGCGUCGACGGGGAGCCGGACUGAGAGGGUAUACGGCCAAAUUGGGCAUGAGAUACGGCCCAGACUACAAACGAAGGCGGGAGUGGGGAAUAUUGCACAAUGGGCGCAGGCCUGAUGCAGCGAAGCCGCGUGGGUGAUGACUGCCUUCGGGUUGUAAACUCCUUUCGCUAGGGACGAAGCGCAAGUGACGGUACCUGGAGAAGAAGCACCGGCUAACUACGUG